GAACGCUGGCGGCGUGCCUAAUACAUGCAAGUCGAGCGAACAGACGAGGAGCUUGCUCCUCUGACGUUAGCGGCGGACGGGUGAGUAACACGUGGAUAACCUACCUAUAAGACUGGGAUAACUUCGGGAAACCGGAGCUAAUACCGGAUAAUAUAUUGAACCGCAUGGUUCAAUAGUGAAAGACGGUUUUGCUGUCACUUAUAGAUGGAUCCGCGCCGCAUUAGCUAGUUGGUAAGGUAACGGCUUACCAAGGCAACGAUGCGUAGCCGACCUGAGAGGGUGAUCGGCCACACUGGAACUGAGACACGGUCCAGACUCCUACGGGAGGCAGCAGUAGGGAAUCUUCCGCAAUGGGCGAAAGCCUGACGGAGCAACGCCGCGUGAGUGAUGAAGGUCUUCGGAUCGUAAAACUCUGUUAUUAGGGAAGAACAAAUGUGUAAGUAACUAUGCACGUCUGGACGGUACCUAAUCAGAAAGCCACGGCGAACUACGU
rnacentral:rRNA from 1 species